rnacentral:lncRNA from 1 species
UCUGCCUGACUCUGGGAGAGUGUUUCUACAGAGGCGUCCCUGGCCUACCUGGAGACCGACACAUUCUUUACCGUCCAGAGCCUGGUUUUCUGGAGGCGCUUCCUCGCACACAACCAUCCUGAGAAAGUGCUGUGCGUGAUCCUAACACAAUGCCCGGCCCAGGCGGAUCCAGUCCUAUAAAUCACAGCUCAGAAUCUGUCUCGUCGCCUAUACUGUUUUGGAAUGUGAAUUGAAAAUAUGCACACGGAGGGAUUCCCUCUGCAUUGACUAUAUAAGGGAACAGGAGCAGAGGCCCAGGCAGCCCGCGCCCCAGGCCCGUCCACGGGGGUUGGUGGCUGUGCUCUCGGGGAUACAGCAGUGGCCUGUCCACCUCCUCUGUUGCCAUCUCAGGUGACCCCGCAGGGGCCGUCGGGCUGCAUAGCAACACCUUAUAGUUAAGCAGAGCCUUGUCUGUAGGAAUCCAAGUGCCCAGUGAAGGUUGCCUGUUGACGCUGUGGACACCCUGGGGUGGGGGGCUGCAGAGACUGUCCCAUCUAGAGGUGGGGAAGUGCUGCUGUGACGUGCUUCCCAGUCUCCAGUGUGUCUGUGUUUCGUGCUCAGCAGGCGGAUGGUCUGGAUGCCCUGGGAAGCGUCUUUCCUGUGACACGGUCAGCCCUGACCACAGGCAGCCUCCUCAGAACCAUAGGGUGGUACCGUGAAGAAACUGGGCUGGAAAGCGGAGCGCCCAGGACACUAGUGGGAGGGACCAGGUGCUGAGGACGGGUCCUGCUUCCUUCCCAUCCAUGUAGGGUCAGCGUUAGGGUCAGUAGUUUUUAAAGGUACAGUCUGUCUGAUGGUUGUUUUGUUUCACUGUAACAUAACAUGACGUUGGCGACUUAACUUCACAGAAAUCCAGCUAGUGUGCUCUCUGCCCAGCACCUGGGAGCACUUACUGAGGUCCAGUGGGUUGGGAGCUGCUCAGUGGAGGGGUCUGUGGGGUAGGAGAAUCGAGGCCUGCUCUUCCUACAGACUCGGCUGCCUGCUGCCCUGGCCCUGGGUGCCUCCGGCCUGCUCCGGAGGCCCUGCAGCCUAGUGUGGGAAGGGAGACCCUGUAGAGUGGGGUGGUGG